GACGAACGCUGGCGGCGUGCUUAACACAUGCAAGUCGAACGGGCCUGUCUUCUUUUUUGGGGGUGGGUUGAGUGGCGAACGGGUGAGUAUCACGUGAGUAACCUGCCCUUCGGUCCUGGAUAACCGCUUGAAAGGGCGGCUAAUACGGGGUGGUCCGGUUGGUCCGCAUGGGCUGGUCGGGAUAGAUUCACUGUUUUUGGUGUUUCGGCGGGGGAUGGGCUCGCGGCCUAUCAGCUUGUUGGUGGGGUGAUGGCCUACCAAGGCGGUGACGGGUAGCCGGGCUGAGGGGGUGGGCGGCCACACUGGGACUGAGAUACGGCCCAGACUCCUGCGGGAGGCAGCAGUGGGGGGUAUUGCACAAUGGGCGGAAGCCUGAUGCAGCGACGUCGCGUGAGGGAUGGAGGCCUUCGGGUUGUGAACCUCUGUUUCCGGUGGUGAAGGCCCUGUCCGUGUGGUGGGGUUGACGGUAGCCGGGGAUGAAGCGCCGGCUAACUACGUG
rnacentral:rRNA from 1 species